UGACAAACACAAUACCUCCAGGUCAGAAAAUGUGAGCCACCUCCAAUACAUAGACUCAGGUCAUCAAAGCAAUUAUCAAAACCAGAGUUCACAAGCCCUAACAACAAUUAAGAUUACAAAAUACCAAGGUUCACUGCAACAAGGCUACUCUGCAAAAAGUGUGGGACAUGAACCCUGGCCUCAAAACCCAGGAUCUGCCCUCAGCUUUUAUCAGUCCUCACCCUACACAAUCUCACUGGGCAAUCUCAACCCUGGUUUCAACUACCUUCUAUGCUGAUGCCUUCUAAAUGUACUAUUGCAGCUAGGAACACACCUAAGCCUCAAGCCUAAUGUCCCUCUGCCUCUAUCACACAUGGCAGGACAGAAAGAAGAUGGGUUUUGGAGCUGGACGAUAUUAGCUCUCUCUGACACUGAUUAGCUAUGUGACUACAAGUCAGUUACCUAACCCCUCAGACACUUGAUUUCCUCCCCUGUAAAAUGAUAAUAAAUUAUACCUUGUAGAGAUGCUAUGAGGAUCCAACAAAACAUAGGCAACCAACCACAAACUUAUUAGGACUACACUCAAAACUCCUCAUUUUUACAACUUUCCCUAUUAUAAAUUAUUCCUAAACACAGCUUUUUACAACCACUUAACAGCAGCAUGCUCCUCAGACUCCCAUGUCACCAUGGAAACUUCCCCUAGUAUACAGCACUCAAAGAGUUCUAGCGGCAUUCCAGCACACCAAAUGGGUAACAAACAUCUUCAAGAAUGACCGCCCUGAUUUUUAAUACAAUUCAAAGACCUUAGAGCAACGAAAACUUCAGGGAAAUUCCCCAGGAAACAGUGGUGACUUCACAGGACUCCUAUUUUCAGAUGCCUCAGUCCAAUCCAUACAGAAAAACCCCUAAAGAAACUUCCAAACAUGCUUAAGAAGUAGAGAGAAGAGUAUGAAGAACUCCUGUGUAGUCUUCACCCGGAUUCAAGGAUAUCGACAGUCUGCCAUCCUCCACAGCUGACUUCUAUGUGCAUCAAAGGUUUAAUUGACAAUGCUGGGAGAGACAACAAUGCUUGAGGAGUUUAGGACAAAGAGAGAACUCAUCCAGCUAGGGUGUCAGGGAAGGCUACACACAGAGGGUAGGAUUUGAGCUGGGUAUAGAAGAAUGUGUUGGACUUUAAUGGAAGAAAAGAAAAGAGGGCAGGACAUUUUUGAUCUAGGGAAAGGUAGGACCAAAGGACUCAUCCCCUCAUAUCUGAAUUACAACAGUGCUGGCUGGUCUCUGUGCCUCCAACUACCCUGCUCAUUGAUUAGUUCUCCAAAAAUCCCAUCAUCACCAGUUCACAGUGACUUCCUACAAUGACUUACUAUUGACAACGGAACCAAAAUAAAUUCUUCAGUGUAAUGCUUAAAGCCCUCAAUGAACUAGCUGAUAUAUUUUGUUUCUAUUCCUCAAAAUAGCCCCUUCCCAACCCCAGCCAGCUCCUGGUGUUUUUUUUUUUUUUUUCAAACUCUCGCUCAUGUAUCUAAUUCCUUUGGACCUCUCUCCACUAACCUUGUUACGAAGCUCACAGCGCCCUUUAUUUCAUUUGUCUGUUCAUUUAGGCAUUUACUAAAGCACCUAUUAUGUGUCAGGCCUUGAGCCAGAUACUAAGGAUACAAAAAGCCACGGUUCCUGCCUAGUAUUCCAUGAAAACUUCUCUGGGUAAACAGUCACCAAAUGACCCCUUCUCACUUCUCAUUUCUCCAACAGCUCUGAAUCACAUACAUUCUUGUUUGCCUAGAUGCUGACUUAGAAUUGUUUUCUAGUUGUCAUACAUCUUAUCUUACAGCUUUUUACAAGUAUCUUAAAUAAGACCAAUAUCUUCUAUUUCUUUGGUACAGCCCUUAAAUUCUAGUAUAGUACUAGGCAACUCGUAGGCAUUAAAGAAACAUUUAUUGAAUUGAAAAAUUAGAUAUUGAUUUAAGGCAACAAUUAUUAAAUGGGUCACUGAACUUACUGAGAAUCUGAUAAAGUUAUGGCCCCUCUCCCUGGAAAAGUCAACUUAUGAAUCUAUACCCAAAUUCUGCAUAGUAUAGAGAAGGAGAAAAUCACAGAAUUCCUGAAGCCUCUCCUUGGGCCCCUGAAAAUGGACUCAGCUCCCAAGACUCUAAAACCAGUAAUUUAGGGGGGUGGGUUUUUGUUUUCCUUUAUAAUAUUCAACCAAUAAUAUGUUAUAUUUUAACUUUAAAAAAUCUUACACUAAUAAACAAAGAUCAAAAUUUGAAAUGUACAUAUCCUUUGAACCCAGUAUUUGCAUUUCUAGGAAUUUAUCUGGCAGAAAUGCAAAGAUCGAUCGAUUGAUCUAUCUCAAAUGCAAAGAUACACAUAAAAGAUAACUCUACUGAACUGUACACUUAAAAAUGAUUCAGAUGAUAAAUAUUAUGUUACGUGUAUUUUACCAUUUUUUAAAAAGCAUGCACACAUAAGGAUGUUAACCAAAGCACUCUCUGUAACGAUUAAAAAAAAAGGAAAUCACCUAACUGACCAAUAGGAAACUGGUUAUAUAAAUCAUGAUAACUUAUCUUAAGAGAGGACCUUGAAAACACACAGAGUGCACUAGAGGCUAGCUACAAGUCCUGGGCCAAGUUUCUCCUUCAACUGACUAAAGAAGGUGCUUUUAAAUAGCUCAUAAAAGAAAGAGAACAGCAUUUAGGCAAGACACAAAGCAGUUACUGGCUUCCUAGUGGAGAGAGGGAGAGCAAGAUGGGC